ACUCAUUUGUGAGCAAAGGGUUCGUGCGCCCCUGGGGGCGACGACAUUGUAGCAUCUGAGCUCCACCAGUUUUGGACGUCAUUCUGUUUUUUUCUGCUGCCAUCUCUCCCAACUCAACCAUUUCCAUCUUUUCUAUCAAGAUUUUCUUUUACGGCCUCGCCAUUAUUUUCUCUCCAUCGCAGUAACGCUACAGUUCCAGUUCACACAACUUUCCACCGAUUCCUGCACUUUUUUUUUUUCCUUUGUGGACCAGUGCCAUACGAACUGUUUGACAAAAGACCAGGGCCACCUAAAAGCGCAAUUAGCCCCAUCAUUGGCGCUUCUUUGAAGGUCAUUAUUUGCUGCUCCACUCGAGGAGGUUUGUGACUCAGCAUUUACCACAGGGUACCGCCAUCAUCAUCCAAGAAAUUGAUAAAAUCAUUCAUCUAGAAAGUACCUCUCGAGUGGCAUGCCUAGGCUUUGUCCUCUUCCUUUCUCUCUCUUCCAAAGUGAGUGUUGAAUUGAUGUGAAAGAAAGCUCCAUUAAAGGAUCUAUUGAUGAUGAUCUCAAGCUCAACCAGUGCCGUGGAUGAUCCAGCUUUCAAGACCUUCAUCAUUUGAGAGUUCCACUUGGUUUUUGCUCAUUUGAUCUCUGGCAAAUUUUCCAUGUUUCAAGUGUGCAUCAGUAGAUGCUUGGCUUUUUAUUUUUGAUAUGAUGAAUUUGGUUGAAUUUUGAGUAAUGCCAUUGCAUGUUACCCUAUGGCACAUAACUAAGACCCAAUAUCAUAACCGGGCACCCAAGAGCUUUAAUUGGCUUCUCAUGGACAUGUUAUAUUAUUCCCUCGAGUAUAUGUGCGUUCUUAUGUUCAAGAUCAUUCCUUUUUAUUUUUGUAAUGACAUUCGAUGUAUAAUUUUGCAUUGUAAAUUUGAAUAGUGCAGAAUUUUUAAAAGCACAUCAUUCUUGUCUAGUUGAUGA